GAAAGGUAGACCCCCAAGUAAGAAAAAGGUUCCACCUGUAGAAAAGAUGGCAACAAAGAGAAAGAAACUGAUGAAACAGAAUUGGGCGACAACCCAGGAUUUGAACAGCACACAUUUGAUGAUGGUGUUGUUUCGACACAAAACAACAUUCUUACACAAUCAAGUCCACAAGGAAAUGAGAUGUGUGACCAUAUUAAUGCACACUUGUAACUCCAUGGUGAUGAGAAGUAUAUAUUUUUUGAAGCCACUUGGAGAGCGUUUUGGUGUAGUUUGUGGAUGUGGGGGUGGGGGUAAAUUUUUUGAAGCCACAUGGUUGGUGUUUACUUUUCAUACCUCUUCAAUAUUAUAUGUUGUAGUUGUGGAGAUGCAUAAGGUUUAGUUUUUGUACUAUUGGUGAGGUGUAUUUUGUGGAUGGCUGUAAAUUUGUUGGACCGCUUGGAGAGGGUAUGGAGAUAUGCUACAAGCUUUGAUCAGUAAGCUUAAGUAGGUGGAAUGAGUAUUGUCCAAGUCAUCAUGAGGUCAAAAUGCUCUUAGUUGACAUGAAAGAGUUUUGAUGAGCAAGAAUGGAAGGUGACACUAUUAGGGGAAGAUGUAAGGGUUCUGAAGAGGAAUGUUAGUUUGCACUUAUUUCAACCUUAUAACUUUCUGUCAUGAGCCAUGUACAAAUAUUAAAUUGUUUCAUUCAUUUGUUCUCUAAAUUUUUCAUAAUAGAUGGGAAAACUUUUUCAAUUUAAACAUGACCCUACAAUGUUUAUGAGAUAUUUUUAUAUUUUUUUUUACUUUCUUCUUUUGGCUACUUAGAGAAAUAAUGGAUAUUGUGGUAAAUUAGCGAUUAUUUGUAAUGUGGGCAAUUUUUCAAAACAAGACAUGCUUGGUUGUAUAUAGUUUUUAAUGUGUACAGUAGAAUUGGAUUGCCAUUUUCAUGGAAAUAUCUGAAUGAUUAAGCUUCUUGAUUGAACCUCACGAUUUAAUAUUUCUAAUAGUGUAAUAUUGCUUUGUCAGGAUUUGAUUAGCCUACUUGAACACCAAGAUUGGAGGGUGGGAGGGUUUUCACCAUUGUACUCAUAAAUAGGAGUUGUUUAAAAAGCACAUUGAUAACGAGGAAGGUGCUACUGAAAGGCUCCGAGAUGGCGAUGGUUUUAUAGUAUAGGAACAACAAGUUGUGUAUGGUUUAUAAUUGAGUGAACAUAUUUGUGUAAAUAUGUCUGAAGAUAUGUAAAGAAAAUGCAGGAAAGAAAGUUUGCUCAGUUAUUGCCAUUAUAUCAUUUUGCAUGAUCACUCUAUUGGUUUGGACAAGUAGCAAUUUGUUGGAAUUUUAGUGAAAAUGG